GCUGGGUGUGGUGGCCACACCUGUAAUCCCAGCAGCUUGGGAGGCUGAGGCAGGAGGAUUGAAAGCUCAAAGCCAGCCUCAGCAACUUAUUGCACUUCAGUGAGACCCUGUCUCUA
rnacentral:sRNA from 1 species